rnacentral:rRNA from 1 species
GACGAACGCUGGCGGCGUGCCUAAUACAUGCAAGUAGAACGCACAGUUUAUACCGUAGCUUGCUACACCAUAGACUGUGAGUUGCGAACGGGUGAGUAACGCGUAGGUAACCUGCCUGGUAGCGGGGGAUAACUAUUGGAAACGAUAGCUAAUACCGCAUAAUAUUGAUUAUUGCAUGAUAAUUAAUUGAAAGGUGCAAUUGCACCACUACCAGAUGGAUCUGCGUUGUAUUAGCUAGUAGGUGAGGUAACGGCUCACCUAGGCGACGAUACAUAGCCGACCUGAGAGGGUGAUCGGCCACACUGGGACUGAGACACGGCCCAGACUCCUACGGGAGGCAGCAGUAGGGAAUCUUCGGCAAUGGACGAAAGUCUGACCGAGCAACGCCGCGUGAGUGAAGAAGGUUUUCGGAUCGUAAAGCUCUGUUGUAAGAGAAGAACGGGUGUGAGAGUGGAAAGUUCACACUGUGACGGUAUCUUACCAGAAAGGGACGGCUAACUACGUG